CUGACAAUAAACAGAUGACCCAACGUUGCCUAAGUUAGAACAUGCACCGCUGCUGCCCAGGCUCCAAUAAGGGCAGGGUUGGCGCGUGUGGGCUUCUCUAAAGGGAAACAUGGCCAGUAAUUUUAAAAUCCAUCCCCUCUUCAAUGAUAGCAAAUAUAAAAGCAACGGGCUGCAAGGUACACGUAUGUUUAAUGAAAAAUGGAGGGACGUGCUUAAAAACAUGGGUACUAGCCGAUAAAAUGAGUCAAUUAAGACUAUUGCCACCUGCAGUAAAAUGGACCUCACAUUUCUCUUGACUACAGUUUUGUCAGAUCUAAAAUGAGGGUAGCCUUAAGUGAUUUCCAAAUUUCUUUCCAGGUCACAUUAGAUGAAUCUGUACCUUGGGACCACCACACCGUUAAUAUAUAAGACUGGAUUACAAUUAAAGGAUGAGGAAGCUUUCUCAAAGGGUGCUUUGUAUGUGUUUACUAGUUGUGCAAACCAUGAACCUCGGUAAUGUGGUUAAUAGACCAUGAAAAGGAUGUGGUUUCUGCCCUCGGCUUAAAACAAAGACAGCAAUAAGACUAAAAGUACUUCAGGGCACAUGAGAGCAAAUUUCAAUCAAUACUUAUAGGAGAGGGAAGUUAAUUUUGCCUGAAGAGAAGAUCUGGCCUGCAUUAUGCAUUAAUUAGUAUUAGCUAAAAACUAUGUGGACCUAGCCCUUAUCAUUAAAAUAAAACACUCAAGGGUUUACAAACUAUUGAAAUUUAAGAAAAUGUCUUUGCAAUGAAUGCUACUAAGACUCACUGUUAUUAAGUACAUACAUAUCAAUUCCAUAAACUCAAUGGAAAACAUUUUACUGUGCUUGUAAAAAGAAGUGACUCAUAAACAGGAAUUCUGUCAUUUUAUCACUUUCAUGAUAGAAUGAUGUGUAGAAUUUGUUUUACAAUGCUCCAGAAAUAAAAUGUAGGGAAUGGAAAGAAGAUAGGUGAAAGAAAAGUGGUGCAACAUCAGUCAGUGUUGAAGCUAAGUUCAUUUUGCUACUUUACCUACUCAUGCAUAUGUUGGAAAAUUUACAAAAUGAAAAGCUAAAAGGAGAGAGAGCAUCUUCAGCAUGAAAGACAGCCAUUACCAAAGCAUUUCCUAUCUUUAACAAAAACUGAAGUCUUAGCCUUCAGACUAAGGAUGGUAGGAAGAAAGUAGCAAGGAAGUAUGGGACUGACCUUGCCGUAAGGAGUCACAGACCAGGGUAAGGGACCUGUUGCUGUCAGACCAUGAUUGGCAUCUUAGCCCUGACACUUCCUAGCCAUGUGAUUUGGGGCUAAAACUAGUCCACACCAAAGUUCUCUUAAAAUGCGGGUAGUAAUAGAACCUGCUCCAAAAGGUGGCUGUGAAGAUUAUAUGAGAUAAGAAUAAUGCCUAGCACAUAUUCUAACUCAAAAAGCUUACAUAUUAGGUUGGUGCAAACAUAAUUGUGGUUUUUGCCACAAUAUUGCCAACACUAAUAUUAUUAUUUGGAGGCAACAAUACGCUGUAAUGUCUAUUUUUCUUAUACUAAAGUUAACUUCACUUAGCAUGAUACACAAUGCCUCUCACAGCCCAGCUUCAGUUUUGCCCACUUUACAUUCCACUAUUCCCAGAGUUCCCUGUGUCCUAGUAACACAAAGCUACUCCCCAUUCCCAAAGCACAUUGUGUACUUCAGUGUCUCCUUGCUCCUUCAUUCUGAUUAGAACACUCUUCUCCAGUUGUCCAGUGAAUCAUUCAGUCUCUGUCAUGUAGUCCACACUGUACCUCUGAUAGCUCAUGCAGAAUGAGCUGCUGUCUCUUCUCAGAUCCAAUUGCUCUUCUGUAUAACUGAUAUGGUUUGGCUCUGUGUCCCCAUCCAAAUCACAUUUUGUAGCUCCCCUAAUUCCCACGUGUUGUGGGAGGGACCCCAUGGGAGAUAAUUGAAUCAUGGGGGCGGGUCUUUCCCAUGUUGUUCUCGUGAUAGUGAAUAAGUCUCAUGAGAUCUGAUGGUUUUAAAAAUGGUAAUUUCCCUGCACAAGCUGUCUCUCUUUUGGCCUGCUGCCAUCCGCGUAAGACAUGACUUACUCCUCCGUGCCUUCCACCAUGAUUGUGAGGCUUCCCCAGCCAUGAGGAACUGUUACAAAAACCUGAGACUUCCAUUUUGCUGGAAACUUCUUUUCCUCUUGCACACUCACUCUGCGACUCUGUGUGGAGAGCUCCAUGUGACAAGGGAGGUCUGCAGCCUAAGCAACUGAGACCUCAGCCCAACAGCCCUCAAAGAACUGGAUCUUCAAACAACCACAUGAGUGACCUAGAAGCAAAUCUGUCACCAGUGCUCUUGAGACGGGCUGAAGUAUUUAAUCACCGGCACAAAAUGUCCCAGUGUUCUGUUCUCCUGCUGUGGAAAUUUUAGAGAAAAGAUCAUGAUCUAAGAGUCUACAAGACCAGAGCAGCCUGAAUUGCUGAGCUGCCUGGUGGAGAAUAGCAGCAUUGGGUGGUUCCCAGGAUUCUUAAAAGGACUUUACAAAGGCCUGGCCUAAUCACUUAAGAGCUCUUAAGGAGUGAAUGGGCUCUUCCUGAAAAAAGAGCUUCUGCUAACCCUGAAAAGCAAGCAACAACCCUGUGAACUGCUAUGGAGAGAGAUGGCCUCUAACAGCUGAGGACCUCAGUCCUACAACCACAAGAAACUGAUUUCUGCCAACAACAUGAAUGAACUUGGAAAAGGCCCCUGAGCUCCAGAUGAGAACACCCAGGUCAACUCAGGUCAUGAGCAGAGAACCCUGUUAUAUUCUCCUUGGCUUGUGAUCCAUAAACAAUGAGAUUAUAAAUGUGUGGUUUUUAAGCCAUUAGGUUUGUGGUAACUUGUUACACAAGCCUCUUUUAGAUUCUUUACAUACACAAAUAUAUUCUAAACGAAUAAUGAGUCUUCCUUUCCCAUCUUUAUACCAUUUACUUCUUAUUCUUCCCUUACCGCUUUAAGACCUCUAGUAUAAAGUUGACUAGAAAAGGUGGUAGUGGCAUUAUUGUGUAGUUCUUUAUAUCAAAGGGAAGAUUUUCAAUGUUUUCAUGUUAAGUAUGACAUUUACUGUAGGUUUUUCAUAGAUGCUCUUUAAUCAGUUUAAGCAAUUCUUGUCUAUCCCUAGAAUUAUUGUCAGGAAUAAAUGUUGACUUUUAUCGAACACUGUUUCUGCACCUUUUAAAAAUAUCAUAUUUUUUCCUUCAAAUGGUUACUGUGUUGAAUUAUAUUAGCAGACAUUCUAAUGUUAAAGUAACCUAUCAUUCCAGAGAAAAGGAGGUGAGAAUAGCAGUUUAGUUAUGAUGCUGUAUCCCUUUUAUAAAUUCUUGGAUGCAAUUUGCCAAUAUUUGGUCUAAGAUUUUUGCAUUAUGUUAAUGACUGGAAAUGAGUCUUAAUUUUCCUUUAUUUUUCUGGCUUCUUUGUGUUUCGAUAUCAAGAAUAUGCAAGUCUCAUGCAAUAAAUUCUAUGGAAGAGUUGGUUAAGAUUGCAUUUUUUUCCUUACAUGUCUUAUAGAAAUGAGUGGUAAAAUAUCUGAAAAUGGAGGACUACUGAAGAAUUGGAUAUGGUUUCUUCAGGUUGUAAAGAAAAAUAUGUUAAGUAUGCUAACACUUAGAAACACUCAAAUAUAGCAAGCUAAAAUUGUUUAAUCAAUUAACCACUUUUGUGGAAACAUAUCUGCAGAAAUGGAAUGAGACUAUAAAUUAGUGUUUCCUGAACAUAUUUCACUAUCAAACACUUCUUCAAUUUCAGUUUGUAAAAUAAAGUGUAUUUUGUUUAUUUAAAACUUUCUUCUUUCAUUCAAAGAUCCAAGACAAAGAAUGUGUUUAGUCUAGCGUUUUAUAAACAUGAAAUCCUGAAUAUGACAAAUGCAUGCUGAAUUUCAAUAUUUAAUCGGCAUACAUCAGUUUGUUAAUAAAUGUUCCUUAUGUAUUAAAGCUCAGAUUUUGCAUUUAUGAUGCAUGAAGAAUUAUAAAUCAUGUGGUUUCAUCCCGUUGCAAGAAUACAAUGCCACACUCAAAAGUAAUCUCAAAAUACUUGUAUUUCUCAAGUCUUUUGAAAGGG
rnacentral:lncRNA from 10 species